rnacentral:misc_RNA from 1 species
UCUCCGUAGGUGAACCUGCGGAGGGAUCAUUACAGAGUUCAUGCCCUACAGGGUAGAUCUCCCACCCUAUGUUAUCAUUACUUUGUUCCUUUGGCGGGCCGUUAAACUCCGGCCCGACCACCGGCCCCGGCCGGUAAGGUCCCGGCAGACGACACAAAACCCUGAAUAUUAAUGUCGUCUGAGUACCAAAUAAUAGUUAAAACUUUCAACAACGGAUCUCUUGGUUCUG